UAUUAAUAUAUUUUAAUUAAUUUUUUAAUUUAUAUUUAGUACAAAAGAAUUUUUUUUUUAAUUUUCUGUAAAGUAUUUUUUUUUUGUGAAGUUUUAAUUGUUUAUUGUACCUUUUGUAUCAGGGUUAAUUAAUUAUUUUAAUUAUUUUAUUUUCCCGAAAUUGAAAUAUUUAAUAUGAUUUAAUUUUAUUUGUUACAAAAAAUUUUUAUAUAUUUUAUUAAUAAUUAUAAGUUAAUUGAUUUCAAUUUAUAUCUGGUUGCUUUAGAUCAAAUUUAAUUUUAAAUUAUUUAAAUUCUUAAUUUUUAAAUAUAAUUUUAUUUUAUUAGGGAUAAUCUUAAUAUAUUUAUAUAAUAAUUAUUUUUUUAUUUGCCCAAAUUUUUAAAUUUUAUAUUAAGUUUAUAAUUAAUUAUUUUAAGUUUAUGAGAUUUAAUUUUAUUUAUUUUUUUAUAAAGUGAAUUUAAUUAUUUUUUUUUAUUUUUCAUAAUGAUUAAAUUAGUAGAAUAUAUACGUAUAUAAAUUGAAUUCAACAAUUAUUUUUUCCAACUGUUUAUCAAAAACAUUUCCUUUAGUUUAAAUUUAAAGGUAAUUUCUGCCCUAUGAGUAUUUUAAAUGGCUGCAGUAUCCUGACUGUACAAAGGUAGCAUAAUAAUUAGCUUCUUAAUUGGGGGCUGGUAUGAAGGAAUUAAUGAGAUAUCAAUUAUAAUUAUAUAUAAUUUUUUAAUUUAAUUUUUUGGUAAAAAAGCUAAAUUAUUAGUAUGGGACGAAAAGACCCUAGAGAACUUUAAUUAGGUUUUUAAUUAUAAUUUUUAUGUAAAUAAAUUUUAUUAACUUAUUUUUUAUUGGGGUGAUAAAUAAAUUUAAACUUUAUUUUUUAAAUUCUUUAUUUAAGAAUAUUUAUGAAUCAAUAAUUGAUUAAAGCAAAAGUUACCUUAGGGAUAACAGCGUAAUUUGAAUGGAGAGUCCUAAUUUAUAUUCAAGUUUGCGACCUCGAUGUUGAAUUAAGAUAAAUUUUUGGAGCAGUAUCUUUUUAAUUAAGUCUGUUCGACUUUUAAAUUCUUACAUGAUUUGAGUUCAAACCGGUGUGAGCCAGGUUGGUUUCUAUCUUUAUUUAUUAUAUUUAUUUUAGUACGAAAGGACCAAAUAUUUUAUUAUUAUUUAAUAUACAAUUUAAACGAAUUUAAUAUAG
rnacentral:rRNA from 1 species